AAUCAGGUAGGAUUACCCGCUGAACUUAAGCAUAUCAAUAAGCGGAGGA
rnacentral:ncRNA from 2 species